rnacentral:rRNA from 1 species
UACAGAGGGUGCAAGCGUUAAUCGGAAUUACUGGGCGUAAAGCGUGCGUAGACGGUUAUGUAAGUCGGGUGUGAAAGCCCCGGGCUCAACCUGGGAAUGGCAAUGGAUACUGGCGAGCUAGAGUGUGUCAGAGGAUGGUGGAAUUCCCGGUGUAGCGGUGAAAUGCGUAGAGAUCGGGAGGAACAUCAGUGGCGAAGGCGGCCAUCUGGGACAACACUGACGCUGAGGCACGAAAGCGUGGGGAGCAAACAGG